rnacentral:misc_RNA from 1 species
GAUGAAGAACGUAGCGAAAUGCGAUAAGUAAUGCGAAUUGCAGAAUCCGUGAGUCAUCGAAUCUUUGAACGCACAUUGCGCCCUCUGGUAUUCCGGAGGGCAUGCCUGUUCGAGCGUCAUUAUCACCCCUCAAGCCCGGCUUGUUGUUGGAUGCAGCGCUUAUCCCGCUCCUCCCAAAGAUAAUGACGGCGUCUGCGACGACUCCUGUACACUGAGCUUUCGGGCACGUACACGGCUAGAAGUCCAGACCCGGUCGCCGUCCCCCCCACGGGACACCCAUUACCACAAGGUUGACCUCGGAUCAGGUAGGAAUACCCGCUGAACUUAAGCAUAUCAAUAAGCGGAGGA